rnacentral:rRNA from 1 species
ACGGGUGAGUAACACGUAGGCAACCUGCCUGCAAGCCUGGGAUAACUGCGGGAAACCGCAGCUAAUACCGGAUACGCAGUCGAGAUGCAUAUCUUGACUGGGAAAGGCGGAGCAAUCUGUCGCUUGUAGAUGGGCCUGCGGCGCAUUAGCUAGUUGGUGAGGUAACGGCUCACCAAGGCGACGAUGCGUAGCCGACCUGAGAGGGUGAUCGGCCACACUGGGACUGAGACACGGCCCAGACUCCUACGGGAGGCAGCAGUAGGGAAUCUUCCGCAAUGGACGCAAGUCUGACGGAGCAACGCCGCGUGAGUGAGGAAGGCCUUCGGGUCGUAAAGCUCUGUUGCCAGGGAAGAAUGUCGAGGAGAGUAACUGCUCUUCGAAUGACGGUACCUGAGAAGAAAGCCCCGGCUAACUACGUGCCAGCAGCCGCGGUAAUACGUAGGGGGCAAGCGUUGUCCGGAAUUAUUGGGCGUAAAGCGCGCGCAGGCGGCUUUGUAAGUCUGGUGUUUAAACCCGAAGCUCAACUUCGGGUCGCAUUGGAAACUGCAAGGCUUGAGUGCAGAAGAGGAAAGUGGAAU